ACCAUGAAUGCUGUUAGAAGUGCUGUCAUUUAACUAAAAUUCUCUCUAUGGUAGAAAAGCUGUGCUGAAAAGAGAUUUUUACUGUGUUAAGCCCUGAAAUGCAAAAAUCCUUUCUUACAGGUCCUAAAAUAAACUGCAUCGGGAUUUCAUUGAAAUAGCAUAUCAGCCUUCAGCAAGUGAAUGCAUACAGUAUGGAAACUCAUCCCUCCAUUCCUGCUUUGUACUUGGAAAUCCUUCUUUGCCUGAAGUUCCACUGAGGCUUUCAGCUACUCGUGUCUUGUGCUGCCUACAGCUACUGUUACUCCAAAGUGUUGCUGUGGCAUAGGUGUGAGCUCGGAGUUUGUGAUUUGUGUGAAGACUGAAGGCGGUGGUGUAAGCAUGUGACUGGGAGAAAAGGACUUGGUGGUAGCAGCUCCUCACUCUGGCCUUGAGGCAUGACAGUCUCAAGCUUCUGAGCUGGAAUCUGACCUGCUGACAAGCUGAUGUGGAAGUCGUCUGAGUCAGGAAGAGAAGAGAUACUGUCUUGAUGCAUUGUCUCAGUAAGGGGCUGGGGCAGGAACUCAUUGGAACCAUCCAUGCUGCAGGACCUACCUGGGGAUGCUAACCUUUACUACCAACUUAAAUCCCUUCAGUGUCUGUGCCAGGUGCAAUUUACAGGAGGAAAAAGACUUUGUGUAGAGACUUUACAAAAGGCCCUUCAACACGGGACCAGGAAAACUCUUUUAAGAUGAUGGAGCUUAAGGCAAACCGAGAAUGAGGAUGUGCCCUGAAUGAGCAGGAGGUGCUACCCAAGGGAUGGCAGAGGGGGAAGGAAGCCUAGCAGAAAAAAAUCAGUGUAUUUCUUAAUUUCUCUUUCACAAACUGUUUUUAAAAUUGUACAGAAGAAGACUAAAUACUUUGGAGGGAGAGCACUACUCUAUUAAUUUCAAUUUUUUAUACUUUCUCUUGAGUGCUCUCCAUGGGCUGUUUUCUUCAGUUGUGUUUUUGUAACCUUUUCUCUUUGAAAUCUUAAAGAUAAUUUCUUCGCAUGAAGAAAGUAAUGAAUUCAAAUUGUGUGAUUAUUUUUAGCUACGUUUGAUGACAUAGCCAGACAUGCCUGCAGCAAAAUAACAUUGGUGCUGGCAGAAAACAGGUAGUUAAGCAGGUAGGCUGUAAAUAUCUACAGUCAUUGCUUUAAAGCUAUCAAUUAUUUGUGUUCCCAAGUUUAACUGUUGCACUGAAUAUUUACCUUGCAAACUGAGAAAUAGCAGCCAAUCUAAGCAAGUCAUUUGCUUUUCAGUAUUAAUUUCACUUCUUGUGCCAGGCUCUGUAAAUGUUUCCUCAUAUAUCAUUGUCACGGUGCCAUACAUUUUAAAUGUCAAAUUAUGCUGUGUCUGGUGUCAUAAGACUACUGUUAGCAGCAGGGAGGGACAAAAAAUACCACACAGAGAAUAAACACUUGUUUUCAGUAGCUUCCAUACCUGGUAUGCAGUUCUAUGGACAGAAUUAUCUAAGGGUUGUUUGGAUGUGUAGAAGAUCCUUUGAGUAUUUUAGCCACCCCUUGAGGAACCUUUUUCCUGUAUUGAAAACAAAUGAUUUGUGCAUUUCAGCUGCAGUAUUUCUUCUUUCCCUAGGCUCUUGCAUCUAAAGAGAACAUGCCAGAAAGGGCAGAUAAAUGCCAUUCUUUUUAGUAGUUAUUUUCCAAUUAUUGUUAGUUCACAAGCCUUUUAUGAGAAAUUACAGUGCUAAAGCAAAGUAAGAGGCAAACUUCAGAUGACUAUGUAUUGUAUGUAGGAGACAAGGGCUCUAUUCUGCUCUCCUGCCCCCCAUUUACCGUCAGAUUUAUACCACACUAGCACAGCAACUGAAGAUUAAACAGGGAUUAACCUUUCUGGUUAUCCACAAUUUCUCACACUAUUUGUAGAAAUAAUAUAAUUCACCACUGAGUUAUUAUUUUCCUUGUGGAGUAAUACUGCUAUAGAGGUUAAAGAAGUCAGGGCUGUGUAAUAACCUAUUUAUAAUAAUAAGAGAAGGGUGAUCACAUUAUUAUCCUCAAGAGGCUUCACAGAAGGAGGUCCACGAUAUGUUGUGUUUUGUCAUUCAGAUCAUGUAUCUCUACCCAAAGAAACAGAUUCUGUGCUGCCUGUCCAUGGAGUCAAGCAAUGCUGACGUGCCUCCACCAUCCCUGACCCCUUUUCAGGUCUCAUCCUUCUCCGCCAGAGGAUUUAAUAAGUAGGUACAGAGCUAUUUAUGUCAGCAUCUCCUCUUAUGGUUUGAACAUUUCAGACUGGUGGAUUAGUCGAGAGGGCUGAAGUCCAAAUUUAGUGCCCUUGGGCUCGAUUCAUUUACUCAUGCAUGAACACCUAGUGCCAUCUGAGCUAUCCAGGGGGAUCUCUCCAGCAGCCUCUAGAAGGGAAUGGGUCUCACAGAGGUCUUGCGAAAUACAUACCAGCUCUGCAGGAAUUUGUCAGAUACUCUAGUGUGUCUCAAGUGGCACUAAGUUAUUUAAAUAUGCAUCAACACAACAGGCCCUAAAUAAUCAGUUUGCAAAUCGGAAAUGGAUCUUCCAUUUGUCCCACACUAUUGCUCAGGUCCAGAAAACAAACACUGAAAAUUUUUGUCAUUUCAACUAGCUGCCUGUGUAGGAGCAGAGAUAAGCUAGAACUGGAACCUCCAUCAUGUGUUGCUUCUAUAACCUAGGCAGCCCCGUAAGCCUUUCCAGGACAUGGAUCAUCUUGGUAUAAUAUUAAAAAUAACCAUAAUGUAAUAAUUUAAGGUAAGAUGAACUGGUGCCUGCAAAUGCCUAUCUGUUUUCAUUGUCUCUACAGUCAGCUUAAGUGACUUGGUUAAACUAUACAUCUGACUUGCAGAUCACUUGAAUCAGUAAAAAUUAAUUCCUACUUUCAGAGAAAAAAGGGCUAGUUUGAGUCAGAGCCUUGACCUAGGAAGAGGUAUCAGAACCCAAACUUACAUGGAAGGAAAACAUCCAAAGUACACGUGAUAAUCUUUUGCUGGAGUUACCUGUUCACCACCUUUAGUGUUCCUUCCUCAUUUCUGGACAAUAAUUGUGACUCACAACUCUUAUAAAAUAUAGUAGUUCAUAUUCAUACAAUUCUUAGUACCUUUCCAAUAGCCUGAAGCCCACCAUCUGAGCUUACAAAUAGCACAAAAUGCUGGAUUUCAUGAUUUAAACAUAUGGCACAUCUGUUUUUUACAGUUACAUGAAAUUUAAGGCUUCCAAUACAGAAGACAUCUGUGGGCUGCUGUACACAAUUCAGAAUGAAUCGUGAUGCGUUGUGGUUCCUAUUUUUGGUGCCUUCACUGGCCCCUAGUGUUUCAUCUUGUGAGUAAAUCAAGUAUUUUCUAUGAAAUUGUAUAUUUCAAGAUAUAUGACAGUAUUAAAUGGUAUUUAGUUCUCUGACUGUCUUUGAGAAUUUAUAAAAGUACAUUACUGCAUUACUCUGAUUUGAAAUAUACAGAUGUAAGAAUACUACACAUAUUUAACAGUACAUAUGUCUUGGUUUCA